rnacentral:lncRNA from 1 species
AAACUACCUAACAAUAGUAUUUUCUGCUCUCUCAAGCACAUCGGUUCUCUUUUAUCCUGCCUGGGGCCUUGGUCUGUGAGCUUUCCACUUUCCUGCUCCAGUUUGGACUGACUGCUCUCUAGGCUCAGUGCUUGUCAUGGUUUCCUUCUUGGUUGUCAUUCUGGGACUUGUCCUUUAGAGGGUCCCCUGUUUCUGGGAUCCCUUGUCCUCUUGGUUUACUUCCUUGUUUUGCUGAAACAUCUCCUUUGGUAGCUUUCUGAGAAAGAGUGGAUGGGAGAUAAACUUUUCUGAGUCCUUACAUGAGUAAAAAUGCCUUUAUUCUACCUUUAUCUCUGAUAUUAGCCUGGCCAUGUGUGAGAUACUUCGUUGGAAAUAAUUUCUCCUCAGGUUUAGAAGGUGUUUCUCCCUUGUCUUCUAGUUUCCAGUUUGCUUAAGAUGUUCAAAGCCAUUCUGAUUUCCUGUUCCUUAGAUGAGGUUGGUUUUAUUCCACCAGAACCAUCCAAAGAUCAUCUGUUUAUCUCCACUUUUUGGUAAUUUCAUGGUGAUGGGCCAUAGUAUGGGGUUUUCUUUCUUUUGUAAACAAAAUUGACAGUGCUAUGCUUGCCUUUCACUUCUGAGAAACUGCUUAGAUUCUCUGCAAACUGUUUCUCCUCUAUUUUUCUUCUGUUAGCUGUCUCUAAAAGUGUCAUUAGGUAGCUGGACAUUGAACAUUCUAAUUUUCUUAUAUUUUCUUUUUCUAUUUUCAUUUAUUUUUGUUCUAGUUUCUGGGAGAUUUCUACAACUUUAUGGCUCCCCUUCCUGUCCCCCAGCCCACAUCCAAUCGGCCCCCACAUCCUGAAACUUCCCCUUUUAAAAACAGUUCUCACGUCUGUCCCUUUUGUCUGCACUGCCACAUCUCCCCCAAGCUGCCCCUUCUGGGCCCCCUGCCUGCCCCAGAAUCACCCUCUCCACUCAGCACCUGAGGGGUCUCCCAAGCUCCAAACUCAACGUGGCAUAUUUUCACUUUUAAUAUAAUUUAUAU